rnacentral:lncRNA from 1 species
GGGUAGAAAGGGAAAUAAUCAAAUAAGAAAGGAUCGUAUUUCAUCAUUGUUAACAACAUGGAUAUUUAUAAUAUAACGGAGUUUUUGUCAUAUAGACUCAAAUAACUAGCAAGUUCGGAUAACUCCGACUUAUCCAAAAUAACAUAAAACUUCUGAGUACGCAGCGGAAUAGGGUUCUGAUUACAUGUAUGAAGACAUGUAACCCUAGAGUUCAUUAAUACAUAAUAAGACAAAAGAAUCACGCUCGUCACUUCAUCACCAUCGGCAGCUGCUCAACCUGCACAUUUAGAAAUAUAUGCAGGGCUUGAGUACAAAAGUACUCAGUGGGCACGUAUGCCUAAGUAUAAAAUACAUGCUUCAAAACUGUAAAUUGUCAUGCCAUCAUAAACAGUACAGCAAGGGAGUUUUUCGCUAAAAGGCCCAAGCUUACUAAAUUCAUUUGUGAUUCUUAAAGUUCGUACUGCAGACUAAGUUCUCUUGUAAUCUAUCAUAUCUGGAACUGUGUGCCGGAGAGGUGGCCACCUCUCACGGUCACUUGACCGGCCAACCCGCUAGAUGACUCACGGUCACUGGUGUACACUAGCCCUGGCAGGAUAGCUAUCAAC